CGAGUUCCCAUACGAUCACCGAUGUUAAGCAACGUCAAGUCUGAUCAGUACCUAGAUGGGUGACCGCUUGGGAAUACCAGGUGCUGUAA